AGGGCACCACCAGGAGUGGAGCUUGCGGCUUAAUUUGACUCAACACGGGAAACCUCACCAGGCCCGGACACCGAAAGGAUUGACAGAUCGAUAGCUCUUUCUUGAUUCAGUGGGUGGUGGUGCAUGGCCGUUCUUAGUUGGUGGAGCGAUUUGUCUGGUUAAUUCCGAUAACGAACGAGACUCUAGCCUACUAAAUAGCCGAGACCGUCGGGUCUGGUUUCAUAGCCAGUCCCAGGUCAUCCGGUAUCCUUUGGCUACCGGCGAUAAAUCAGUAUCUUCUUAGAGGGAUCCGCGCCUUUCAGGCGCCCGAGAUUGAGCAAUAACAGGUCUGUGAUGCCCUUAAGAUGUUCUGGGCCCGCACGCGUGCUACACUGAAGGAGUCAGCGAGUUUAGGUACCCUAGGCCUACGGGUCCGGGUAACUGCUGAACUCCUGCGUGCUGGGACCGGACUGAAUUGUGUCCCGCCACAGGAUUCCCGUAGCCCAAGUCUAGCCCGUGCGAUUCNUUCUGCCCUUGUAC
rnacentral:rRNA from 1 species